ACUCCUACGGGAGGCAGCAGUGGGGAAUAUUGGACAAUGGGCGAAAGCCUGAUCCAGUCAUGCCGCGUGUGUGAAGAAGGUCUUCGGAUUGUAAAGCACUUUAAGUUGGGAGGAAGGGCAGUAAGCUAAUACCUUGCUGUUUUGACGUUACCGACAGAAUAAGCACCGGCUAACUCUGUGCCAGCAGCCGCGGUAAUACAGAGGGUGCAAGCGUUAAUCGGAAUUACUGGGCGUAAAGCGCGCGUAGGUGGUUUGUUAAGUUGGAUGUGAAAGCCCCCGGGCUCAACCUGGGAACUGCAUCCAAAACUGGCAAGCUAGAGUACGGUAGAGGUGUGGAAUUUCCUGUGUAGCGGUGAAAUGCGUAGAUAUAGGAAGGAACACCAGUGGCGAAGGCGACCACCUGGACUGAUACUGACACUGAGGUGCGAAAGCGUGGGAGCAAACAGGAUUAGAUACCCCUGGUAGGAUAGCG
rnacentral:rRNA from 1 species